AUCAACGCUGGCGGCGUGCCUAACACAUGCAAGUCGAACGCGAAAGCCCGCAAGGGUAAGUAGAGUGGCGCACGGGUGAGUAACACGUGGACAACCUGCCUUCGAGUGGGGAAUAACCUUCCGAAAGGAGGGCUAAUACCGCAUAACACCUCGGGACACAAGUUCUGGGGUUGAAAAGAGCAAUUUGCUCGAAGAGGGGUCCGCGCCUGAUUAGCUAGUUGGUGAGGUAACGGCUCACCAAGGCUUCGAUCAGUAGCCGUCCUGAGAGGGAGCACGGCCACACUGGAACUGAGACACGGUCCAGACUCCUACGGGAGGCAGCAGUGGGGAAUUUUUGGCAAUGGGCGAAAGCCUGACCAAGCAACGCCGCGUGGGUGAUGAAGUAUCUUGGUACGUAAAACCCUUUCGGCAGGGACGAACCUAAUGACGGUACCUGCGGAAGAAGCCCCGGCUAACUCCGU
rnacentral:rRNA from 1 species